UACGUAGGGUGCAAGCGUUAAUCGGAAUUACUGGGCGUAAAGCGUGCGCAGGCGGUUUUGUAAGUCUGUCGUGAAAUCCCCGGGCUCAACCUGGGAACUGCCUUUGUGACUGCAUGACUAGAGUACGGUAGAGGGGGAUGGAAUUCCGCGUGUAGCAGUGAAAUGCGUAGAUAUGCGGAGAACACCGAUGGCGAAGGCAAUCCCCUGGACCUGUACUGACGCUCAUGCACGAAAGCGUGGGGAGCAAACAGG
rnacentral:rRNA from 1 species